UACAGAGGGUGCAAGCGUUAAUCGGAGUUACUGGGCGUAAAGGGCGCGUAGGCGGCCGAUCAAGUCAGGCGUGAAAUUCCCGGGCUCAACCUGGGGGCUGCGCUUGAUACUGAUUGGCUUGAAUGCGGGAGAGGAUAGUGGAAUUCCCAGUGUAGAGGUGAAAUUCGUAGAUAUUGGGAAGAACACCGGUGGCGAAGGCGGCUAUCUGGCCCGUAAUUGACGCUGAGGCGCGAAAGCGUGGGGAGCAAACAGG
rnacentral:rRNA from 1 species